rnacentral:tRNA from 1 species
CCCUGGCAGUUUAGAUAGUAAAGAAUCCACCUGCAAUGUGGGAGACCCGGGUUCGAUUCCCGGGUUGGGAA